GAAGAAAAGAGCAGCAAAGCUCCUAGAGCCUUCGGUCCAUUUUAUUGAGAAAGCAACGGGGGAUUCAAGCUCAAGACCUCCGUAUGAGAGAUUUACUUAGAAAGCAACGGGGGGUUCAAGCUCAAGACCUCCGUAUGAGAGAUUUCUGCUCUGUGUUAUCUAACCAGCAGGAACACGAGUCUUUUUUGGUUGAGCAAAUGCAGGGCCUCCGGCUAAAACGCAAGCACAACAUUGGCGGAUAACUUCAGUACGGUAACCUCCGGCAGUCGUGAAGCCUUCUUCGGCAGUUCUCUGAAGGGGCCAAAUUGCUGCUGUUGCAGAGCUUCCAAAUUAUCUUCCUGCAGCUAGUACAUCAUCUUCGGCAGAAAUUUUCAGUAGUGGUUUCUGGGAACCAUUGGCGGCCUUCGGUGUCAUGGACCUUGUAUUGGUUCUGCAUCUCUGGACACAGGGUGGUUUCUCACUUCUUAUGUCUCCCGAUGAUUUCUGUACGUGGGCAUGUUUCCUCCGAGAAGCUAACCAACCAGCAAUCCAUGCUAGUCCUCGUGUUCCUCCUGUGCAGGUCACCAGUUACUCCGGUCAGAUUUCAAUUUUCAAUAGAAGGGACUUUCGGGAUUUAUUCCAAAUUGAAAGUGUGAUCGUCAUCCGAAAUGGAGAUUGUUUGACUCGGCGAAGCAAACCCAUCAAAGCGAAGACGCUGAACCUUUCAAGAAGCCUCUCUGGUUCACUACUAAAAGAAGUUAUUGGUCUUUGGUUUUUCUCUUUAACCUGUCAUAAGCUGGUCUUCGCGAAGCUACACGCUGGCAGUCUGAAGGAAGCAACGGAUUGGAUUUCGAACUCAAUAGCGAAGGUCUUAUUAGUUAUUACUGCCUCCAGCAACCAUCUUGCUACUGAGCGCAGGUCUUAUUUUUCAGUUAAAUAAUAAGUUCAGCAAAGGUCUCAUUUCUCCCGAAAUGGAGGGAUGACCGGCAGCAAUGCACACCUUCGGGCAGCACCUCCCAACACGCGAAUCAGUCGUAACUGGACCUUCAUCAGUGAAGUUGGAAUUCAUGUAUCCAUCGGAGCUAAAAUUCUUGGCCUUCGGGUCAAAAUUCUUUGGCCGUCGGGUGAAGCCUUCAAAGCUAAAACUUCUGCCCUUCGAGUGAAGCCUUCGGCUGAAGGACUUUGGGGGCCCUACCGUGCCGAAGGUCUCGAACUUGCCGGCGAAGGUUAUCAACCACCAUUGUAAGUUGAGAUCCAGAGUGGUUUUUUUACUCUGGAGCGCAUUGCUCCAUCAAUCCUGAGCGUCUGUGAAAACGGGGAUGGACGGCAGAUCGGUAGUGACGACAACAUGCAUGACAUCCCAGACGGCAGCAGACGGAGUGGAGGGUUGUUCCCGUUAGUCUGAUGGUACGGGAUAAUAGUAAACAUUGUUCGGUCUCAUUAUAAAACAUGUAAACAAUUCUUUUUUCCAGAUAUGUCACUGCUGCUUGUGAGAUGGGAUCUCGAGAAUAUGUUUUUGUUCCGAUCCAUUCUCUUUUGUAUAGAUAUCCAUUCUCUCUUAACAAUAUGUGUUUUCUCUC